rnacentral:rRNA from 1 species
CCUACGGGAGGCUGCAGUGAGGAAUAUUGGUCAAUGGGCGAGAGCCUGAACCAGCCAAGUCGCGUGAAGGAUGAAGGAUCUAUGGUUUGUAAACUUCUUUUAUAUGGGAAUAAAGUGAGGAACGUGUUCCUUUUUGUAUGUACCAUAUGAAUAAGCAUCGGCUAACUCCGUGCCAGCAGCCGCGGUAAUACGGAGGAUGCGAGCGUUAUCCGGAUUUAUUGGGUUUAAAGGGUGCGUAGGUGGUUAAUUAAGUCAGCGGUGAAAGUUUGUGGCUCAACCAUAAAAUUGCCGUUGAAACUGGUUGACGUGAGAAUAUUUGAGGUAGGGGGAAGGCGUGGUGUAGCGGGGAAAUGAAUAGAUAUCACGAAGAACACCGAUUGAGAAGGCAGCUUACUAAACUAUAACGGAAACGGAAGCACGAAAGCGGGGG